UAGGGAAUCUUCCACAAUGGACGCAAGUCUGAUGGAGCAACGCCGCGUGAGUGAAGAAGGUUUUCGGAUCGUAAAGCUCUGUUGUUGGUAAAGAAGGAUAGAGGUAGUAACUGGCCUUUAUUUGACGGUAAUCAACCAGAAAGUCACGGCUAACUACGUGCCAGCAGCCGCGGUAAUACGUAGGUGGCAAGCGUUGUCCGGAUUUAUUGGGCGUAAAGCGAGCGCAGGCGGAAGAAUAAGUCUGAUGUGAAAGCCCUCGGCUUAACCGAAGAACUGCAUCGGAAACUGUUUUUCUUGAGUGCAGAAGAGGAGAGUGGAAUUCCAUGUGUAGCGGUGGAAUGCGUAGAUAUAUAGAAGAACACCAGUGGCGAAGGCGACUCUCUGGUCUGCAACUGACGCUGAGGCUCGAGAGCAUGGGUAGCGAACAGG
rnacentral:rRNA from 1 species